UGGUAACUUAUUAAACAAUUUUUAUGGUAUAAUUAUGAAUUUUUUUUUUUUUUUUUUUUUCUUAUUCUCUUAAAGAAAAAUUAAUAUGAAAUGUUUAAAUUUAAUUAUAUUUUGUUCUUUAUGGAAUAUACUAUUCAAAAUUUUAUGCGCUUAAAUAUAAUAUGUUAAGACUUAAUAAAUAUUAUAUAUCAAUAUAUGUUUUGUAUAAAAAUUACAUGUUCAGCUUAAAAAAUUAAAGUGAUAUUUUUGUAAUACUUAUAAUUCUUUUUUUUUAUCUUUUUGAUUUCUUCUUUAACCACACAGCCGAUUUUAUUUAAAGUUUUAAAGCCAAGAAUAAUUUACGCCUGAGUAAAAAGAAAUAACCCUGAAUAUAUUAAAAUGUCCUACUUUCAUAUAUAUGUAAAAUAUAUAUAAUAUAACGCUGAAUUAUUAAAAGAGAAAAUAAUAAAAUGAAAUGAAAAUAAAAUAAAAUAAAAUAAAAGAUGAAAAAAGGAAAUGAAGAGAAAAGGAAUGAAAAUAAAAUAAAAGAUGAAAAAUGAAAAUAAGAGAAAAGAAAAGAGGGAAUGUUUUAAAAUUACAUAUAAACAAUUAUUAAAAUAUAUAUAUAUAUAUAUAUAUAUAUAUAUAUAUGUUUAUAUAUAUGAAUGAGGCCCCUUUUAUUUCACUAAAUAUUUAUAUAUAUUUGUUUUCCAUAUUAAAUAUAUAAUAAAUAAAAUGAAUUCUUUUAUAAUCUUAAUGUUCUUACUAUACUUUUCAUACUUGAUAUAAGUUAAAACUGAGGUCUAUAUUAUUAUGAAUGGUUAUUCAUAUAUAUAUAUAUAUAUUACUUUAAAAUAGUUAUAUUUUAUUAACUUUAUUUGAAUAUAUAUAUAUAUAUAUAUAUAUAUAUAUAUAUAUGUAUUUACAAAUAUAGGUAGGAAAUAUUAGACACAUAAACUUAUGUAUAUAUGUACAGGUUUAUAUAUAAGAAAAUUAAAAUAUACUAGCAUUUGUAUAUAUAUGUCUAUAUGAGUAAACCUAUCAAAAUAUAAACAUAAAAAUAUAUAUUAAUAUUUAUCCUUAUAUAUAUGAACAUAAAUAUAUGCAAACAUUUAUAUAUAUAAGGAUAUGUAUAUAUACAAAAAUACAUAUAAUCAUAUAUAUAUAUAUAUAACCAUAAACAUUAAAAUAUAUUAUUUAUGUGUUUGGAUGUGUAUAUAUGAAAAUAUACAAAUAAAUAUAUAUAAACAAAUAUUAACAUAGACAUAAUAACAAAUAAAUAUAUAUAAAUAAAUAUUAAAAUAUACAUAAUAACAAAUAAAUAUGUUUAUACAAAUAUUAACAUAUACAUAUAAACAAAUAAAUAUAUUUAUAUAAGUACAUAUAUAUAUAUAAAUAUAUACGUACGUACACGCUUAUCAAAUAAAUAAGUCAUGUAUACAAGAUACUAUAAACAUUAAUAUAUAAAUUCAAAAAAUAUAUAUAUAUAUAUAAUAUAUACCAUAUAUAUGUAUAAAUUUAUAUACGUAAAAUGUUUUUUAUAUAUUUUUUCUUUAUUUUUAUGUUUUUUUUUUUUUAAUAACAAAUAAUUAGAUAUAAAAGAAAUUUUAGUUACAUUCAAUUAAAAGAAAAAAAAAUAAUAAUAUUAAUUGAUUUUAUUUAGUAUUAUAUAUAGUUUAUCCGUUAGAAUAAAUAUAUGAAUAACAUAUAAUUAAUGAAAGAUUUAAAAAAAAAAAAAUAUAUUUGUUAUAUCAAAUUAUAAUAAACUAAACAAAACAUGCGUGCAUAUGUAAUAUACAUAUAUUUUAUUAAAGAUGUAAUUUAAUAUCAAAAUUAAUAAUAUAGUUUAUUAUUUAAUUAAUUUUUUAAGAAUAUAGUAAUUAAAGAAUUGACGAUUUUAAGAAUUAUCUCAUCUAAGAAUAUUCGAGCGAUCGAAUUAUCGAAAUAAUGAACCAAAUCAAAAAAAAAAAAAAAAAAAAAAAAAAAAAUUAAAUAUAAAAUAUAUAAUAUAUAAUAUAUAUUAAAAGGGAUGCAUUUAAGAAAAAGAAAUUAUAUGUAUCAUAAUGGGGUAGUAACCAAAAUAAAAAUUUUCUUUGGUUACAUUAAUGUUAUUAUUUAUAAAUAAUUACUUUUUAUUUUUAUUACAUGCCCAUUUCGUGUCUUUUUUUUAGAAAUAUAUCUUUUGUAAUAAGUGUUAUUUAAUAUACUUUACUUAAUGUGUUUAUUUACAAUACUUUUGUUAGUUGCAUCUAAUUCUAGAAGACAUAAAAUUAAUAUAUUAUAAAUUUUAUAUAAUCAAUAUGGAUUAUUUAUUAUUUAAAUAUGUCUUUAAAUUGUGAAUAACCUAAUAUUAUAUGACUUAAAAAGAAUAUAUAAGGUGUUUAAAUUUUUUAUACAUAAUUUAAAAUAAUAUCACAUAUCCAUAUUUUGUCUAGUAAUAUCGAUCUAAAUAAGAACCCUUCUUAUGUUAUAUAAUAAUGUAAUUUCUUGUUAAAAAAGAAAAGGAAAUACAUGUACAUAUAUAUAAGUGAGAAAAAAAAAAUAUAUAUAUAUAAAUAAAUUAAAAAUCUGUAAUUUAUUAUGUUAGUUUAUUCUGUAAUUUUUUUAUAUGUAAUAUAUAUAUAUAUAUAUAUAUAUAUAUAUAUAUUCUUGCGUUAGCUGCAUAUAUAUUAGAAAUUAUUUUGUUUAGUAUAAUACUAAUUAAUCAAUAUAAAAUAUUUUAAUAAAAUAUUAUGCUAUAGUUGUAUUAUAUUUAUAUCAAUGUCAUAUUUCCCUAUGAUUAUACCGAUAAAAUGAAAAUCAUAACUUACAUGUUGUAAAAUAUACUAUCUUGCAACAUAUAACAUUUAAGAAUAAAAAACAAAAUUAACACAUUUAACCAUUUAUUUAUUUAUAGUUUUUAUAUUAUUAUAUAUUGUAAAUCAUCAAUAUUCUUAACGAAUUAAUAGACACAUCUAAGUUCAUUUAAGAAGAGAUAUAUUUUUUUUUUAUUUAUUUUAUAAUUAUUUAUUAUAAUUUUUUUUUUUUUUUUUUAACACAUCUAAUUGCAUUUUAUUUAUAAAUAUAACAACAUUUAAGAAUUUUGAUUUAUAUAAUAUAUAUUUUGCCUCCCAUAUUUUCUCUUAGUUUAUCUUAAUUUUUAUUUUCUUUGAUUUCUUAUUUAUUAUUUUUUCUUUAUAUAUAUUAUAUAUUAUUUCAUUUCCUAAUUAAUAUUACAUUUAUUUGAAAAUAUAAAUGGAA